rnacentral:lncRNA from 1 species
ACCAUCUAAGGGAACUUGAAAUGAAAUAGGAUAUGCUAUGUCUGGAGAUAUGAGAGUAGAACCACCUCUUAUAUAAGACACUGCUUUAAAAGGGAUCUAUCCCGAUUCUUGAACAAGAACCAUGACAUGAGAUCCUUCUUAUUAUAUGUAAAUUCCUUCUGUCUUGAGCCUUCCACCAGCUCUCUAAGAACCUCUUUAUUUGCCCAAUCCUUUUACUUAAUGUAAUGCCCUAUUCCUUUCGAGUUAGGAUCUCGAUUAGCCUCUUCUAUUUAAUAAAAUAAUAAAAGGCAAAUUGCCUUCAUUCCCCUUCUAUUCCCAAGAGCUGAUUCCAUAGGAGCGCAUUCUUCCUUUAUUGAUUCAAAAACCUUCUUGCUAACCGCCCUUAUCCCGCAAAGAGCUUAAGCUUAUUCUCUUCCUCGACGUGCCAAAGCCCCAUAUAAUGUAAAAUUGGAUGCUUCCUCUACUUCCCCUGCGACUCCUAUUGCUAUUACGACU